GAUGAACGCUGGCGGCGUGCCUAAUACAUGCAAGUCGAGCGAACGGACGAGAAGCUUGCUUCUCUGAUGUUAGCGGCGGACGGGUGAGUAACACGUGGAUAACCUACCUAUAAGACUGGGAUAACUUCGGGAAACCGGAGCUAAUACCGGAUAAUAUUUUGAACCGCAUGGUUCAAAAGUGAAAGACGGUCUUGCUGUCACUUAUAGAUGGAUCCGCGCUGCAUUAGCUAGUUGGUAAGGUAACGGCUUACCAAGGCAACGAUGCAUAGCCGACCUGAGAGGGGGAUCGGCCACACUGGAGCUGAGCCACGGACCAGACUACUACGGGAGGCAGCAGUAGGGAAUCUUCCGCAAUGGGCGAAAGCCUGACGGAGCAACGCCGCGUGAGUGAUGAAGGUCUUCGGAUCGUAAAACUCUGUUAUUAGGGAAGAACAUAUGUGUAAGUAACUGUGCACAGCUUGACGGUACCUAAUCAGAAAGCCACGGCUAACUACGUG
rnacentral:rRNA from 1 species